rnacentral:misc_RNA from 1 species
AAACUAUUCAAAAUGGCAAAGUUUACAUUUCCAUACUGGACAGCUAGGCCAAUCUGAUCCACAAAGUGCUGCCUUCAGGUAUUCACGAUUGUUCUCAGCUAGCCUCAGCUCCGAGCUGUCGUCCUGCUUAAAGCUUAGCUCUGGGGUUAUGUGCAAUGGAACGUCUGCAUGUCCCCAUCAACAGGAACCAUCGAUUUCACAGAUUGUGGGAGCAAUGGAGCUUAGUACCAUGAGAUUCAGUCUAGCAAAAAGCAAGUAUCUACGCUCAAACUGCUGGGUAAAGUGGAGUUACCGAUGGAGGGCAAUCUGUCCUCCUUCCAGCAAGGGAGUAGUAUGCCAGAAUCUGUUUCUUAUACUCUGGGCAAGGUUCAUCUUGGUCUGGAAGAAU